AUGGCCGCGCAGAUGCUCCGCCGGUGGAAGAGCUUCUACGGCGCCUUCGACCCCGUGGACGCCGCCAUCGAGGCCGCCGACCCAGACCAAUUUUCCCGCCAUGUGUUCCAGCGCGCGAGGGGGGACCUGCUGGUAAGGCUCUGCAACGCCGCCGACGAGGAGCAGGCGGAGCGUAUCUGCGGGAUUCUCGACGACCUCAUGGCAGAGUCUCUCGAGACGCUGAGGUUGGUUCCAUCAACACCGGGGGUGCCCAUCUCCACGGAACUCGCCGACUCUGUGCGCGCGCUGCGGGAGCACGACUCGGAGCGCGUCCGCCUCCUCGCGCGCGGCAUCGUGAGCGGGUGGGAGACCUCCGUCCAGGACGACGUCCUCAAGGUCACCAAGGACGACGCCAUGCCGAUGAAGAAGCUACCGCAGCCCAAGGCGACCGUCGGCCUGCAGCAGCGUGCCUGCGCCGGCCCUGACGUGAAGACGAAGCGACCUCCCAGUCCCAAGAUCAUCUGCGAGCCGGUGUCCAAGAAGACGGCAGAAAUCAUCAAAAAGGUGUCCGAUCCUGCCGCCGGCUUCGUCGACGGUGACCGUGCCCGGCUCUGCUCGGAGGAGAAGAUGGAAGCUGCGAAGCGCAAGCUCCGCCAAGGUUACCAGGAAGCAGCGGACGCCAAACGGCGGCGCAAGACGCAGUUGGUGCAGGCGCCCAAGAUGAUGCAGCCGGCGUCUCAGGUGCAGCCAAUCAGGAGUUGCAGCAGCUCCAUGGUCAAGAAGACCUUCGCGGUCAGGAAGCAGCUUCAUGUGUAG
rnacentral:rRNA from 1 species